rnacentral:rRNA from 1 species
UACGUAGGGUCCGAGCGUUGUCCGGAAUUAUUGGGCGUAAAGAGCUCGUAGGCGGUUUGUCGCGUCUGCUGUGAAAUCCCGAGGCUCAACCUCGGGCCUGCAGUGGGUACGGGCAGACUGGAGUGCGGUAGGGGAGAAUGGAAUUCCUGGUGUAGCGGUGGAAUGCGCAGAUAUCAGGAGGAACACCGGUGGCGAAGGCGGGUCUCUGGGCCGUAACUGACGCUGAGGAGCGAAAGCAUGGGGAGCGAACAGG